UGGAACACCUUGUUACAGUGAGGACA
rnacentral:piRNA from 1 species